rnacentral:sRNA from 1 species
GAGAGUGUUUGAUACUACUGACAAAAAAGUAGCACAUCAGGUUCUUCCAAAACUUCCAGCUCCCAGGAAAUCAGCAGAGAAAGGAAGAGCUCUUGAAGCAUUCCUACGUAGAUUCAAAUCCUGAAAGAAACUGAGUUUAAUUCUGGACUAGAGAAUUGUUUUUUUGAUCAAGAAAAGUUACCUUAAAGCAUAUCUCUUGAGUUGACUGCUGUGGAAUACUGGGUGUCCAGGACUAAGCCUGUAUGUGUCACCUGCAGUGCCCAUCUACAAUGCAAUUAUGUUUCUCUUUGUGUUGGCCAACUUCAGCAUGGCCACCUUCAUGGACCCAGGGAUUUUCCCUCGAGCUGAGGAGGAUGAGGACAAGGAAGAUGAUUUCCGAGCUCCCCUUUACAAAACAGUGGAGAUCAAGGGCAUCCAGGUGCGCAUGAAAUGGUGUGCCACCUGCCGCUUCUACCGUCCCCCUCGAUGUUCCCACUGCAGUGUCUGUGACAACUGUGUGGAGGAAUUUGAUCAUCACUGCCCCUGGGUGAAUAACUGUAUUGGUCGCCGGAACUACCGUUAUUUUUUCCUUUUCCUCCUUUCCCUGACAGCCCACAUUAUGGGUGUGUUUGGCUUUGGCCUCCUUUACGUCCUCUACCACAUAGAGGAACUCUCAGGGGUCCGCACGGCUGUCACGUAUCCUUCAAGGCCUUUUAGAUUGUGGGAUUGGAAGGGGGAGGAAUGAGGGCUAAAGGGAAAAUGGCUGCAGUAGGGGCUGGGGAAAGUGAGGUCAUGUUGCUCUGUUCUCCUUGAUUGUUUGGCAUCAGAAUGGCAGUAAUGUGUGUGGCUGGCUUAUUCUUCAUCCCUGUAGCUGGCCUCACGGGAUUUCACGUGGUGCUGGUGGCCAGGGGACGCACAACCAAUGAACAGGUUACGGGUAAAUUCCGGGGAGGUGUGAACCCCUUCACCAAUGGCUGCUGUAACAAUGUCAGCCGUGUUCUCUGCAGUUCUCCAGCACCCAGAUAUUUGGGGAGACCAAAGAAAGAGAAGACAAUUGUAAUCAGACCUCCCUUCCUUCGACCAGAAGUUUCAGAUGGGCAGAUAACUGUGAAGAUCAUGGAUAAUGGCAUCCAGGGAGAGCUGAGGAGAACAAAGUCUAAGGGAAGCCUGGAGAUAACAGAGAGCCAGUCUGCAGAUGCUGAACCUCCACCUCCUCCUAAGCCAGACCUGAGCCGUUACACGGGGUUGCGAACACACCUCGGCCUGGCUACUAAUGAGGAUAGCAGCUUAUUGGCCAAGGACAGCCCCCCGACACCUACCAUGUACAAGUAUCGGCCGGGUUACAGUAGCAGCAGUACGUCAGCUGCCAUGCCGCAUUCCUCCAGCGCCAAGUUGAGUCGUGGGGACAGCUUGAAGGAGCCAACCUCAAUUGCAGAGAGCAGCCGUCACCCCAGCUACCGCUCAGAGCCCAGCUUGGAACCAGAGAGCUUCCGUUCUCCUACCUUUGGCAAAAGUUUUCACUUCGAUCCACUAUCCAGUGGCUCACGCUCCUCCAGCCUCAAGUCAGCCCAGGGCACAGGCUUUGAGCUGGGCCAGUUGCAAUCCAUUCGUUCAGAGGGCACCACCUCCACCUCCUAUAAGAGCCUGGCCAACCAGACACGCAAUGGAAGCCUAUCUUAUGACAGUUUGCUCACACCUUCAGACAGCCCGGAUUUUGAGUCAGUGCAGGCAGGGCCUGAGCCAGACCCACCUUUAGGCUAUACCUCUCCCUUCCUGUCAGCCAGGCUGGCCCAGCAACGGGAAGCUGAGAGGCACCCACGUUUGGUGCCAACUGGCCCAACACACCGAGAGCCCUCACCAGUCCGUUACGACAAUCUGUCGCGCCACAUUGUGGCCUCUCUCCAGGAACGAGAGAAGUUGCUGCGCCAGUCACCCCCACUCCCAGUCCGUGAGGAAGAACCAGGCUUGGGGGACUCAGGCAUUCAGUCAACACCAGGCUCAGGCCAUGCCCCUCGUACUAGUUCCUCCUCAGAUGAUUCAAAGAGAUCACCUUUGGGCAAGACUCCACUGGGACGCCCAGCUGUCCCCCGUUUUGGCAAGCCAGAUGGGCUAAGGGGCCGGGGAGUAGGGUCCCCUGAACCAGGCCCAACAGCCCCAUACCUGGGCCGAUCGAUGUCUUACAGCAGCCAAAAAGCCCAACCUGGUGUCUCUGAGACAGAAGAAGUGGCCUUGCAGCCAUUACUGACACCCAAAGAUGAAGUACAGCUGAAGACCACCUACAGCAAAUCCAACGGGCAGCCCAAGAGCUUAGGCUCAGCCUCCCCUGGCCCAGGCCAGCCACCUCUCAGUAGCCCCACGAGGGGAGGAGUCAAGAAGGUGUCAGGGGUUGGUGGUACCACCUAUGAGAUUUCGGUGUGAGCCUUCGGCGCCUCCCCUCCCCAACGCCUCUGCGCCUACACCAAAGGGCCCCAGGUGGCCACCUUCCUUCCCUCAAGGGGCUCCCCUCCCCUGCAUGGACAUUUUUUAAACCACCGAUUCCAAGAGGAUGAGGAGUGUUUUCUAAAAUGCAGUAGGCUUGGGGAGUUCGGAGAGUUGGGGCCCUGAGACUGGGGUAGCAACCCCCCCUUUUAUCUUUUAAGACCUUCCCUUCCUUGAUCCCUGGACCAGACUCAGUGGACAUUUGUGCAAUUGCUCGCCCUGGAGGGAACCAGAUCAUUUUUAAACCAGAAAUAAUUUUUUUUAUUAUUGUUACGGAUUCUAUUUUUUUCCUCUUCUGCGUUACCAGGUGUGUGUGUACAUAUAAUAUAUAUAUAUAUAUAUAUUAUAAAUAUCAAAGAAAUUAUAUAUCUAUCCUGGGAUGGGAAAAUGAGGGAGGGAUACAUAUACGGAGGGGGAUCUUACUCUUCCCAUUCCUCAGACCAGCAGGAAAAGAGGGGAGACGUCAGUCUUUUUCCUGUGGUUCCCUCUCAUUUGUCCCAGUUACUAACUACGGAAAUAGCAUCCUCUGCUGGUGCUAAGUGUGAUUAGGAAGAAGCCUGGGGAGAGGCGAGUCUGGAAUUUUGGUCACAAGAGGGAAGGACUUGGAGAGGAGAAUUAGUUUUCUAGGCUCAUUGGCAUUUAGUUUCCCUAGGAAAGGGGUCAAAACUUAAAGACACUGGUGGUGGUGGGAGAUCAGGAAAAUAACUUGGCCUAGCUCAAACAAUAUUGGAUAAUCCCCUCCUUGGGGGAGAGGGAUUAGAGUGUGCUCCUACUGGCCCCUUGGAGCCUCCCCUAGCUUACACAGUUAACUUGAUUUUAAAAUCCAAGGCCAGGAGAGAAGAAUCCAAAAAGCAAUAUUUUUCAUCACAUGCCAAAAACGGGGGAUAGAGAGAAGGAGUGGCAGGCCUAGGCCCCUCCGAUUGUCCCUUGGGGGUUACCCCUCAGCCCACCUCACUAUGGUGCUGGGUAGAGGGGAUACCUGGGUUCUAACCUCUAAAUAGGGGAGAUCCCAGCCUCCACAAAGAGGCCCUUUUAUUUUUUAUUCUGAUUAGCCAUUUUAAACCAACGAGGAAUAAAAAGAAAUCCUGAUCUAA